GCCCAGCUAUCUCAGUCGGUAGAGCAGGAGACUUCAUCUCAAGGUUGUGGGAUCGAGCCCCACAUUGGGUA